rnacentral:rRNA from 1 species
AUUGAACGCUGGCGGCAGGCUUAACACAUGCAAGUCGAGCGGGGAAGGGUAGCUUGCUACCUAACCUAGCGGCGGACGGGUGAGUAAUGCUUAGGAAUCUGCCUAUUAGUGGGGGACAACAUUCCGAAAGGAAUGCUAAUACCGCAUACGCCCUACGGGGGAAAGCAGGGGAUCUUCGGACCUUGCGCUAAUAGAUGAGCCUAAGUCAGAUUAGCUAGUUGGUGGGGUAAAGGCCUACCAAGGCGACGAUCUGUAGCGGGUCUGAGAGGAUGCUCCGCCACACUGGGACGGAGACACGGCCCAGACUCCUACGGGAGGCAGCAGUGGGGAAUAUUGGACAAUGGGCGCAAGCCUGAUCCAGCCAUGCCGCGUGUGUGAAGAAGGCCUUUUGGUUGUAAAGCACUUUAAGCGAGGAGGAGGCUACUUGGAUUAAUACUCUAGGAUAGUGGACGUUACUCGCAGAAUAAGCACCGGCUAACUCUGUGCCAGCCGCCGCCGUAAUAC